AUACGGAGGAUGCGAGCGUUAUCCGGAUUUAUUGGGUUUAAAGGGAGCGUAGGCGGGAGCUUAAGUCAGCGGUUAAAUGGUGCGGCUCAACCGUGCCCUGCCGUUGAAACUGGGUUUCUUGAGAGUGCAAGAGGCGGAAGGAAUUCUUGGGGUAGCGGUGAAAUGCUUAGAUAUCAUGAAGAACUCCGAUUGCGAAGGCAGUCCGCUGGGGCACGUCUGACGCUGAUGCUCGAAGGUGCGGGAAUCAAACAGGAUUAGAUACCCUGGUAGUCCGCACGGUAAACGAUGAUUACCCGCUGUCGGCGGCAGACAGUCGGCGGCCAAGCGAAAGCGAUAAGUAAUCCACCUGGGGAGUACGCCGGCAACGGUGAAACUCAAAUGAAUUGACGGGG
rnacentral:rRNA from 1 species